rnacentral:rRNA from 1 species
CCAGUACCGUGAGGGAAAGGUGAAAAGCACCCCGGAAGGGGAGUGAAACAGUUCCUGAAACCGUGUGCCUACAAGUAGUUAGAGCCCGUUAAUGGGUGAUAGCGUGCCUUUUGUAGAAUGAACCGGCGAGUUACGAUUUGUUGCAAGGUUAAGCGGAAAAAGCGGAGCCGUAGCGAAAGCGAGUCUGAAUAGGGCGCAUAAGUAACAGGUCGUAGACCCGAAACCAGGUGAUCUACCCAUGUCCAGGAUGAAGGUAAGGUAAUACUUACUGGAGGUCCGAACCCACGCACGUUGAAAAGUGCGGGGAUGAGGUGUGGGUAGCGGAGAAAUUCCAAUCGAACUUGGAGAUAGCUGGUUCUCUCCGAAAUAGCUUUAGGGCUAGCCUCGAGGUAAAGAGUCAUGGAGGUAGAGCACUGUUUGGACUAGGGGCCCUUCUCGGGUUACCGAAUUCAGAUAAAC